rnacentral:rRNA from 1 species
UACGUAGGGCGCAAGCGUUGUCCGGAAUUAUUGGGCGUAAAGAGCUCGUAGGCGGCCUGUUGCGUCCGCUGUGAAAUCCCGGGGCUCAACCCCGGGCCUGCAGUGGAUACGGGCUGGCUAGAGGCAGGCAGGGGAGAACGGAAUUCCGUGGUGUAGCGGUGAAAUGCGCAGAGUAUCAGGAGGAACACCGGUGGCGAAGGCGGUUCUCUGGGCCUGUACUGACGCUGAGGAGCGAAAGCGUGGGGAGCGAACAGG